CGAACGCUGGCGGCAUGCCUACCACAUGCACGUCGAACGAGACCUUCGGGUCUAGUGGCGCACGGGUGCGUAACGCGUGGGAACCUGCCCUUAGGUUCGGAAUAACUCCCCGAAAGGGGUGCUAAUACCGGAUAAUGUCUUCGGACCAAAGAUUUAUCGCCUUUGGAUGGGCCCGCGUUGGAUUAGCUAGUUGGUAGGGUAAAAGCCUACCAAGGCGACGAUCCAUAGCUGGUCUGAGAGGAUGAUCAGCCACACUGGGACUAAGACACGGCCCAGACUCCUACGGGAGGCAGCAGUGGGGAAUAUUGGACAAUGGGCGAAAGCCUGAUCCAGCAAUGCCGCGUGAGUGAUGAAGGCCUUAGGGUUGUAAAGCUCUUUUACCCGGGAUGAUAAUGACAGUACCGGGAGAAUAAGCUCCGGCUAACUCCGUG
rnacentral:rRNA from 1 species